GCAUAUCAAUAAGCGGAGGAAAAGAAACUAACAAGGAUUCCCUUAGUAACGGCGAGUGAAGAGGGAAGAGCUCAAAUUUUAAAUCUAUCAUGUUUGUACAUGAUCGAAUUGUAAUUUGAAGAAGCGUUUUCUCGUACUUUAUGCAAUCAGUAUAAGUUCUCUUGGAACAGGACAUCAUAGAGGGUGAUAAUCCCGUCUGUUACUGGUUGUGAGGUUCGUUAUGAUACGCUUUCAAAGAGUCGAGUUGUUUGGGAUUGCAGCUCCAAAUGGGUGGUAAACAUCACCUAAGGCUAAAUAUUUGCGAGAGACCGAUAGCGAACAAGUACCGUGAGGGAAAGAUGAAAAGAACUUUGAAAAGAGAGUUAAAAAGUAUGUGAAAUUGUUGAAAGGGAAACGAUUGAAGUCAGUCGUGCAGUCAUCAAUUCAGCGGUUAACAUUUUUAUGUUUCCGUGUAAUUUGGUGUCUGUUGGUUAGCAUCAAUUUUGAUUGUUAUAAAAAGGUUAAGGGGAUGUGGCUCCUUCGGGAGUGUUAUAACCCUUAGCGUAAUGUGACGAUUAGGAUUGAGGUUUGCAACGAAUACCUUUUAGGGCAGUUUCCCUGGCCUCUCGUGGAAUUAUAGAUAGUUAAGAGCACGCUUCUUACUGUCUAUGAUUCUACGAAAAGGUUAGUGUAAAACUAAUUCGUUAAGGAUGUUGACGUA
rnacentral:rRNA from 1 species